GAUUAACGCUGGCGGCGUGCAUAACACAUGCAAGUCGAACGAAGGGGCGGACGGGCGAGUAACGCGUGAGUAACCUGCCUUAGAGAUGGGGAUAGCCUCUGGAAACGGAGAAUAAUACCCAAUGCUCUAAGAUGGACUUGCGUCUGAUUAGCAAGUUGGUGAGAUAAUAGCUCACCCAGGCAACGAUCAGUAGCCGGCUUGAGAGCGUGUACGGCCACAUUGGGACUGGGACACGGCCCAGACUCUACGUGUGGCAGCAGUGGGGAAUUUUGCACAAUGGGGGAAACCCUGAUGCAGCGACGCCGCGUGAUUUAGAAGGCCUUCGGGUUGUAAAAAUCUUUUGUAUAGGAAGCGGUACUAUACGAAUAAGGACCGGCUAAUUACGUGCCAGCAGCCGCGGUAAUAC
rnacentral:rRNA from 1 species